AUGGCCAUAUGAUGUUGAAACACCAGUUCUCAUACGCACACUAAAGUUAAGCAAUAUUGAAUCUGGUCAGUACCUAGAUGGGUGACUGUUUGGGAAUGACAGCUGUUGUAAGC